UACGGGGGGAGCAAGCGUUGUUCGGAUUUACUGGGCGUAAAGGGCGCGUAGGCGGUAGCACAAGUCAGUUGUGAAAUCUCCGGGCUUAACUCGGAAAGGUCAACUGAUACUGUGCGACUAGAGUGCAGAAGGGGCAACUGGAAUUCUCGGUGUAGCGGUGAAAUGCGUAGAUAUCGAGAGGAACACCGGUGGCGAAGGCGGCGAUCUGGGUCGAUACUGACGCUGAGGUGCGAAAGCGUGGGGAGCAAACAGG
rnacentral:rRNA from 1 species